rnacentral:rRNA from 1 species
UAGGGAAUUUUCCGCAAUGGCGAAAGUCUGACGGAGCAACGCCGCGUGAGCGAAGAAGGUCUUCGGAUAGUAAAGCUCUGUUGUCAGGGAAGAACAAGUGCCGUUCGAACAGGGCGUGCCUUGACGGUACCUGACGAGGAAGCCACGGAUAACUACGUG